AAUUGUUGUUGUUGUUGUUGCUUCUAGCUGUCAUUUGAUGCUCUCAGGAUGAAUCACGAUUAAUGCUAUCAUUAGAAUAAAAAAAAAUUAAACCACAAAACCAGCCAUUAACAAAACUAACAAAACAGCUGUACAAAUUCAUACCAGUUUUAUGUCGGUUAAUUAUAGAGAGCUUUUUCUCAGUAAAUCUUGUGCACUGAAGCACUGUUAGGGUGCCUUUAGCUUUUCCUAGUUUCUUCCUCAGCAGUCCCCUAUGUCCUUGACAAUAUCACAUUGGUUGGGAUGCUGUACUGGGUGCUUGAAUGCAAAAACCAGAUAAAUUUAGUUCUGUGUGCCGAAACAGUUUAAUGAUUUACUUUGAAGUUUUGGUUCCCCAUCCUGGUUCAUUUCCCCCUUAUUAAAAUAAAGAUGGUUAGCUUUUGGCUUCAGUGAUUCACAAUGAGUCUUGUAACUUGCCACACCUGUAACUACCUUUAGAGUGCUAAUCUGGCCAAGCAAGAACAGAUCACAAAAAGCAGCCACUGUUUUAAACACUGUUUAAUUGUAAUAACAUUUCAGGCAUGUGUAAUACAUUCGGAUAAAAGCCAAUAACAAUUACUGAUAACAGUGAAUUAAAAAUAACAAAAAAUCUUGAGACUUGCUAAGGAUUAUCUAGUCACAAUGAUAUGGUUUUCCCAACAUCAAAAUGCAAUUUUGUUUCUGCUCUUUCAAACAUCAGGCACAGAUACGGCUCAUUAAUUUGGGAUUAAGCUGGUGGUUACUUACUGUAGCAUGUGAAUGAUUUUCAAAUAUUCUUUGCCCCCAUCCUUAAGAACAGCAGCAUCCCAUGUUGAGGAUGAUCCAAGGGGAUGGGAGGCAAGCGCUACAUGUUAAGCAAAAUACACACAAACACUGUAAUUUAUCAGUGCUGACAUAUUUAUUACACAAUUUGUUCGGAGCAGACUCUGGCGCCGUUUAAAAUAAGCAUUCUCAACAUUCAGAGCAAUUUAUCUAACUCGCUUGGAACAAACUGUCCAGUGGGGCAUGCUCAAAUUUGUAUACAAUUUACAAAGUGUGUUGGACCCCUGUAGAGCUGCUAGAAGUUCUCCUUUUCAACAAGUACUGAGUUGUUUUCUCUGAUUUUAUGUAUUAAACAGGCUUUAUAUACUGCUUAAUCAUAAAAAACCAAGCAGUUUACAGAAAGUAUGUGUUAUGUACUCAGUGGUCUGGACCAGGAUUCUGUGCCCCUCUGUUUUGAUUUGAUACAUGAUAUCCAAUCAUGUAGCAUUGUCAGGAUUUGGGUUGCUGGCAUUGGCUCUUAAGCUCUGAGUUACGAUUCGCAGCUUGGGGUUUUAGACAGCCAAUCACAUUGAGAGUGUGAGUGGCCCAGGACUUCAGAAAGAUGUACAUUAUUAGUUGCUUUGCCCCUGUUGCUCUGUUCUGUUUGCUCAAUAAAGUCUCUUGCUGUAAUCACUAUGUCUCACCUCGUAGAAACUCACGCAUACUUCAGCAUGCAUUCAAAUUAGCCUAUUUCUGCCCCUCAGCCCCCAAAAUUGUGGGAUAUUAACUAACAAAUAUUAAAAUACAUACUGUAUGUUCAUGUCUUGGUAGGCUUGCUUCUUAUCAAUGACACCUUCUGAUAUUUCCUGCUUUCUGGAAAGGCUGGUGAAUGGUGUGGUGGAAUUCUCUGAGGAAUUCUCACACUAUGACCCUCAAUGUUAUAAAAUGCAAAGCCCAUCUAAGAUAGCUUCUUCGUGCAGGAGGGACUUUGUCCCAGAUUUUAUCUUGUGAACCACCAUGAGAUCUUUUGAUGAAGGGUGGUAUAUGAUGAUGAUGAUGAUGAUGAUGUCAGGGAGUUCCAAAGUGUGGCUGUUGCCACACUGAAAUAUUGAUUCUUUGAAAGUGUGGAACAAACACUAUGUGACACUUGUAAAAGUGCCAAUCCCACAGAUUGAAAUGGUUGUGUGUGUGUGUGUGUGUACAGUGCUUUUUUCUAAAAAAAAAAUGUUUAGGGGUACUCUCAUUUUCCUACUCAUAUUGAAAAACUGCCCCUCAAUAAAGCCAAACUUAGAUUCACAAAAUGUUUAGGGGUAUGCGUAACAGAAAAAAGCACUGGGGGGGGGGAGAUAUUGCAAAGAAACUGCUUCAAUAGUAGCAUCUUGAAUUUGAAUUUGGCCCAGUAACAAAUGAGCAGCCCAUACAGAUUUUUGAGCAGAGGUGUAUAUGCUGACAAGGUCUCACUCCUGUCGGCAAUCAUUCUGUAGCAUUUUGUGCCAGUUGCAGUAACUUCCUGCUGAAAUGCCCCCCCCCCCCCCGCUUUAAUAUUACACAUGUUCUAGUUUACUUUUGUCCCACUUCUGUUGUGCCAUGUCCUCUCUGGAAAGCAGUAGUAUUGGCGAAGCAGCACAGAACAAAACAAGGCGGGAAAAGCCUAAUACACCAUUAUUGUGUCAAAAACAUGUUUCAGAAUACACCCACAUAAAACACCAGUCCGAAGGGGCCCUGGGAUCUGUACCAUUAGUUAUCACGUGGUUCCAAGUAUGUGUUGAGAAAAAGCUAGAAAGUGAGUUCAGGUGUACGACUUUGAUGCUGGGCCACAGUUCAGGACUACGCAGGUGAAGAAAAAGGCUUGCAGCAGUAUCAGUUAAUAGAUAACAUUGACCAUUGAGGAAAAUACUAAUUGGAGCCACUGUUGCAGAGAGGGGGAAAUUUGCCUCCCGCCAUGACAAUGAAUGGUUCAGCCCUUACUAAUAGGUAUGGUGAAGAGUACUGCAAUGCACCUCUGGGCAUAAAGGAUACAUCAACACAUGACUACCAAAAUCCUCACAAUAUAUUCAAGCUUUCCUUGCACACAUGCCUACCCAGUCAUAUUGACAUUUUUUCCCCCUAGCUAUAAAUAAGAGCAUCUCUUCCGAUUCCUUCCCAUUAGAUUGUUGUGCCUAUAUUUCAGCAUAGUAACUGCAAGGCAUUUACCUACUGACAAAACUUUAGUGAGCUGUCCAAAUCAUAAAUAUAGUUUGCAAUUGGCUGUGCUGGGUUUUUUGCCUUUUCUUUUUGCAAGCAGAGAUAAAUAACCAGGACCAUGUAAAUCCAUCUUUUCAUAUAUCUCCAUGCUGCCUUCUGAUCUCACAUUCUGUAUAUUCCUCAUACCCUGAAGCAGUGCUUUUUUUUCUAGAAAAAUAGGCGCAGGAACUCCCCCCCCCUUUUUUUUAAGGACAACCCUAUAUUGUUGAGCUUUUUUGGGGGCGGGGGCUUUUUUCAACCCCUGCCCGGUGGCAGAAAACCAGCACUGUAAAGAGAAGUGCUAGAUAAAGUGGUUAGUGGUUGAGAGUGGCAGUCACCAUCUUCAUUUCCCCAAGUCAGCAGCUCAGUCUGAAGGUUUCAAUUUGCUGUCUCUCUUUCCAUUCAGAAAAUCCUCUCUAACCUAGCUUCCAGGUACGUCCUCUUUCUCAUUCUCCUAAGCACAACUGUGUUGUUUUGAAAUUAGCCUUCCAUUCCCACAUCUCCAACAACUCCUUCAGCAUGGAACAAUCAGAUCUCUGUUUCCAACUGGCCCGGUGACAAGAUAAGGGCCUCUUUUCUUCCAGACUAAUACUUUAUUACCAACUAAUAGUUGCUUCAGGGUUUAGGAUAAAAAGUAAAACUCACCACAGGGAGGAUUUCAGAGACUGAGAGUAGCUUUCUGCCAAAUGGUUCACGGCAGCUCAGCAAUUAUCCCAUUCCUUUAUUUCUCAGAAGGAAAGCACGCUCCCCAAGUCUCUUGCUAUAAAACUGUAAAAUCCAUAUAUAUAUAUAUAUAUAUAUAUAUAUAUAUGCACAUGCUGAUUUAACAUGAAAAUUAUAUUCAUUGUAAAUGUUUUCCUGGCAAUUUGCUUGUCAUAAAUGUCAAUUGCAGUGAAAAAUCUCGGUGGGGAACUGGAUGUGUUUAUUCCGUACGUAGCGAUGAUUUGUUU